GCUGUACUAUUAUUCAUUGCAUAAACACACAUUUCUUCCAGUAGUAUCCUGCUCCUACUCCAGCACAUUUUAUUCUCUGGCUUUCACAUUCCUUUACCAAAGAAGAAGGCAGCUGCAGAGAGGUGAACGAGAGGCAGCAAAGCCAGAAGGAAAUCAAAAGGAAACCAGAAUUAUCAGAGGGCAGCUGGAACAUCAGCACUGGCAAACCUGCAUUUUGUAAGGGUCUCCAAAGGAGAACAUUCUCCUGGGAAUAUCAGGCAGGAGCUGUGCAGCCACUGAGAUCCAGCUGAAAUCCCCUGUGGUGUCGCCCAGGGGCUGAUGCAGGAGGCUGAGACUCCAUCUUCUCUUUUCUCCGAGCUGAUUUAUCAGAUGAAAUCACGGCCACCCUCCAACUGAUGCAGUAAUUCACUCUGAUGGGUGACACACGUACAGGUGAAAAAAUAUUGGCGCAAUACACAAAGCCAUCUCAAUAAAUCAUGGGAAAUUAGUAGGGAGAACUCAUUUUCAAGCUUUUAGCAUAACAAUUAAGAUGAGAUGAGAGUGGAAAGCAAGAGCUCAGGGCCAGGCUGGAUGGGGAACAGCCUGGUCUGGUGGAAGGCGUCCCUGUCCAUGGCAGGGGUGAAAUGAGAUGAUAUUUGAGUCCUUUCCAACCCAAACCAUUCUGCGGUUCUGUGAAACUCCUUGGGCAAUCCUGAACAACAAUUCUUGUAAACGAGGCUCCCUCCACACCAGCACGAGCACACUGAUAUCACUGGCUGCACUUGAAAUAAAGGCAUUGAAGGAAGAACUACAUGCAGCUAAUAAAGCAGUUCAAGCAAUUGGUCCAUACAGAGCAGGCAGAGAAUUUUAAAAGAUAUUAAACUUCACCUGCAGGCUGGUGGCGAGGCCAUUAAGGAAUUCCCUGUGAUGAACUGCAUUUAGUGGGAAUUAGACCUGGAGAUGUUGGAUCCUGCAAGUCCCCCAGUGCUUGUGCUUCGGUUCCAGGCUGCUCACGUGCUGAAGUGUGCUCCUGGAGACCUGCCAGGGAUUUUUGCAUGAAUUGGGUGACUUUGUAGAGAGCAAAGACGUGAACUUGACAAUGCCCUGGGUGACGGAUGCUCAGUCCUGGGAGGAGUCCAGUGGCAUCAGCACUCCGAGGCGUGGGAGCUCCUCUGUUUGAGAAUGGACCAAGGAGGGAUGCAGCGAGGGGAAACACUGCCCUGCCGUGCAGGACACAGCUCCUGGAGCUGGGAUAAGGAGGGAAUGUCUGGGAACCACCGCUGCAAACCACUCCUGGUUAAUACCAUUCCCAUGUCAUGAUAAUACAGCUCUGCAGGGAUUUCUCCUCACUGACCUCAGUUUUGCCCGUGGCACUGCACACUUCCCUCAGCACAGCAAACCUGGUACCAGUGUUUGCAAACACACUUCUUAUUCCCCCACAAACGCACAGUUGUUCUGUGUGUGAUCACAACAGGUUCAAAACGCACAACUUUACACUUAAAACCCAAGAGCCUUGGUAAUUUUUGCUCUGCAGC